GACAGAGUGCCGGAGUGGUUAACGGGAAGGUUUUGAAUUUAGAGAACAUUUUCAGAAUGUUUUCAUCACUCGAUAGCCUUUGGCCUUGGCCUCGCAGGUUCGAAUCCUGUCUCUGUCG
rnacentral:tRNA from 1 species